GAUGAAGAACGUAGCGAAACGCGAUAAGUAAUGUGAAUUGCAGAAUUCAGUGAAUCAUCGAAUCUUUGAACGCACAUUGCGCCCCCUGGUAUUCCGGGGGGCAUGCCUGUUCGAGCGUCAUUUCACCACUCAAGCCUCGCUUGGUAUUGGGCAACGCGGUCCGCCGCGUGCCUCAAAUCGUCCGGCUGGGUCUUCUGUCCCCUAAGCGUUGUGGAAACUAUUCGCUAAAGGGUGUUCGGGAGGCUACGCCGUAAAACAACCCCAUUUCUAAGGUUGACCUCGGAUCAGGUAGGGAUACCCGCUGAACUUAAGCAUAUCAAUAAGCGGAGGA
rnacentral:misc_RNA from 1 species